GACGGACGCUGGCGGCGUGCUUAACACAUGCAAGUCGUACGGUAAGGCCCUUUCGGGGGUACACGAGUGGAGAACGGGUGAGUAACACGUGAGUAACUUGCUCACAACUUUGGGAUAACGCUAGGAAACUGGUGCUAAGACUGGAUAUGUGUCCCUGCUGCAUGGUGGGGGUUGGAAAGCUUCGGCGGUUGUGGAUGGACUCGCGGCCUAUCAGCUUGUUGGUGGGGUAGUGGCCUACCAAGGCGGCGACGGGUAGCCGGCCUGAGAGGGUGACCGGCCACAUUGGGACUGAGAUACGGCCCAGACUCCUACGGGAGGCAGCAGUGGGGAAUAUUGCACAAUGGGCGCAAGCCUGAUGCAGCAACGCCGCGUGCGGGAUGACGGCCUUCGGGUUGUAAACCGCUUUCAGCAGGGACGAAGCUUUUUGUGACGGUACCUGCAGAAGAAGCACCGGCUAACUACGUG
rnacentral:rRNA from 1 species